GGAAUUGAUUAAUCUAACAGGUUAGAGGGUUGGAAACUUUGUAAGGAUUCUAUUGAAGAAGUUUAUUUUUACUAAUUCCAUAUUUGUGAAGACGUGUAGUUAAGAGUGGGGCUGUGUAGAAUGGAUAGGAUAUUUUUUGUUUUAUAAUACAUAGUAUGUAGGAUUAAAAGAAGCUAAUAAAUUGAUGAAUGGAUAGUUUAGAAAGUAAGAUGGAUGAUAUAGUCAAAAAAAGUAGUUAUCAUCGAUUGUGUAGUAGCUGGUAUUUUGAAGAAAAGCAUAAGUAGUUUGAAGAAGAAGUAGAAAGGGCCAGGCUGUGAUAGUCAUGAGCUAGAGUAAGUUUGGUGCUAAUUAUUUGUUUCUUUGUUUUCUUAUAGAAGAAGAGUAUUAAAUAGAAUU
rnacentral:lncRNA from 1 species